ACACCAUGAGAAAGCGACUUCAGAGGUGGUAUUCUGGCUGUGGCACCUGCUCCUGGAGGAUCAGCUGUCCCAGGACAUGCUGGGGCCAGACAGGGCAGGGGCGGUGGCGGCUGAAUGAGUCUGGCCUGAGAUUCAAUCGGGUGACCUGGGCACAGUUGAGUUUUAUCAGGUAUCUGUUAAGCACCUACUCCUUGUCAGCAUUGUGGUCUGUGCUAAAAAAGCACCGAAGAAUGAGAUAGACUUGAUCAAACCCUUCCUGAAGCUUACUGAAGAAGAAAGAUUCAACUGACAAGCCUGUGAGUCCUAAAAGAAGAAAUGCAGAUUGCUAAGGCAUCAAGGAUUGGGGACUUCACUGAAUCUUGGGGGGUCAAGAAGGGGUCCCCAGAAAGGUGAUGCUCUUGCAGAGACUUGAUGCACAUAAAAGGAGCUUGGGACUUUGGAAGUGGUUUUAAACAUCAGUUCUUGCACCCUCUGCCUGGGAUCGUUUUCUCACCAACACCUGCUGGCUUUGAAUGAAACUCCCUCCCCCUUUAGGGAACUUAUGCAGCUGAAGAGAAAUGGAUGCUGGGAACUGCUUCCAGGGACCUGGAAAUUGAUGAAGACACACACAAGGUAACGGACACGGGGCCAGCUGCGACAUUUUCUGUGUGCCUUAAUGAGGAGUGCUGGGGCUGUGCUACUAAGAGCUGAACUCUUGGCCCAGCUCGCCCGGCUGAAGGAGAAGGGGGAGAAGCUGGCAGACUGCGGCGCUUUGUGAGGAGAAAACAAAUGGGCCUGUAACUUGAUCGAGGUGGCGAGGGGAGGCGGCCAGGGCUCUAGGGAUGAAGAAUAGCUUCUCAGAGUAUUGUCAGGGGGAGGAGGCAGCCAGCAGAGCUGACUGCGGGGCUGGCAAGUGGUCUGCCAGCUUGAGCAUCCUUGGGCUGCCAUGCCCACCUGUCUGGAGCACCUUCUAUGGGUCAGGGACAUUUGCAGAGGGUAGGAGGUAGUCCUUGCAGCAACCGCACCUGGUGAGGAGUAUUUCUACCCCUGUUUUCUAGAUGAGACUCCUGAGGCUCAGAGAAGUGAAGUAGCUUGCCUGAGGCCACACAGCCAGUCAGUGGUGAAGGCAGGGCUUAUAUCCAGCUCUGUAUGUCUUUAGAGUGAUAUUUCUUCCACUGUCUCUUGCUGCCUGACAAUUUUGGGGGGCAAUGGUUCCUUCUGAAUUUUCUACAUGUAAUAAUGACAGUAAGAAUCCCUUUCAAGGGAUAUAUUUCACAAAGAGUCCUCUUGCAAAUGCCAUUUCACAGCGUCUUUAUAGUGUUUUCCCUUUGAGGUGAAAUGUUAUCCUCAAAUUUGAGCUGAGGACAUAGAAACACAGCCAGGCGGGCAGCUCCCCUAAAUGCCACUCAGCAAGGAGCUGAGACUGGCGAGGCCAAAUGGCAGGCACUUGCUACCAUUGUAUGGAGACCCAGGUGGGCUCCUCCGGUGUUCGACGAGACCCAGAGUAUCUCCCACUCCUUCAAAUGAGAAGCCCAAGAACAAACAGUUUGUUUUUCUAACACGCUCAGAGCCUCUGCUUUGUUUCUAACCUUUGAUAAAGCCAGCAGCCCAAAUCCCCUUUCCUGUGCCCCUCCUCCCGAGAAAGGGAUGGCCAGCCAUGUGUAUUUUUCACUGGGGCUCUCACAAAGAAUGCUGCAUAUAAUAUGAAACAUGUGUCAUGGUGUUUGCUGGAGGGCCCCACCCCAUGCCCUUCCCUGCACUGUGGGAGCCUCCGGUGUGGGGGGAUGGGAGGGGGUCGGAGCCCCAGACACCUAGAGCAUUUCUCCCGGAACCGGAACUGCCCCCACCUGCAGGCAGAGCUGGUACCCAGCUCCAUCAUCCAUCUCAUCUCACUUCCCCAUUGGAGACCUUGUCACCCCAUGUUUGCGUUUCUGGCAAUGUGUUGUGAGCCCGGCCUCAAACUCAGAUGUGUGAAUUUCAGCUGGAAACGUACAUGGGCUGCGCUCAAUAACAUCUGUGGGGUAAAUUAUAGGGUGAAUAGGGGAUGAACCGCUCUUCCUCCCAUCUCCCGGAAGUUGGCGCGCUGUGAUAUUGCUGAAGGAAAGAAUAAGUGCUCUGUGAUGGGGCUGUCACUAUUUUUGCCAUUCCCUUCUUAGGAGACAGGAUUGUUGGGAGCCCUGGUCCUUGAACCGGGAGCAGGUGUUAGAAUCACCUGUAGGCUCGUUAAAGCAUAGAUGGCUAGCCCCACCCCUCAGGGUGUAUUUUUGCAUCUUUAACACGUUCCUGGUGGAUGAGAUGCUGCUGCUUCAGGGGCGUGGGAGCUCAGAUGGUCUUUUUCAAGUGGGGUGCGGAUGGAGCCCAAGAGAAAAAAGAAACAGAAGAGAGAGUGACUGUCUGGUGGUGUGGUGUCUGAUGGUGUCUCAAGGGCACAGGGAUCAGCAUAGACCAGAGCCACCAGGACGGGCCUCCUGGAUGUGUGGUGGUGAAGGACGCAAGGGAUUUGGAAAGUAAAAGGAAGGAGAGCUUUGGGCGCAGGCCGGUGCGGAGGCAGUGUUGAGAUGAGACCAGCCUGCAGAGGGAGGGGGACGAAAACAACCUUCCUCAUCAGGGUUGCCUGGAGUUUACACUCUCCAAACCCCCUGCACAGAGCCCAGACAGCCUGGCAGGGCAGGGGUCACCUUCCCAUCUCCAAGGAGGAAACCAGCACAGGGGGUCAUGGGAAUUGAGGAAGGAGGGCCCAGGGCCACAAGCUUUGGCAGCUUAUUCUCUUACAACGGGUUGACCUUUCCCCUGUUUGAAAGCUCUUUGCAGCUGCUUUCCCCAGGGUGAGCAAUGCAGUCUAAGCCUUGGCAGGAAUCAUGGUUUCUCUCACCUGAUUUUUUUUCUUGUUCCAGUUUGCACUUACAAAUGUCAUCAACACAGAAACCACUGUUGCCCUCCUUAUGCCAUUGGCUGGUGACUGUCUCCUCUUCCUGGUUCCUAAAACCUAUGAGGGUCACCCCAUAGCCCUGGAGAAGAGGAGGGAAUGGAGAAAUCUGGACUGCAAAUUCACCCUGUAUCAGCACCACGUUUGGCAUGUUUAUACAGGAGAUCUCACUUAGCCUACAGAGCCCAGGGCAUGUAGAGACAAGGUCGCUGAAGCUCAUGCUGAGGGUAAAGCUCAGGCUCAAGGUUAAACCCCUAGCUUGAGCUCUUGUUGUUAGCUGGUGGAGCUGAUAUCCAACCUCCAAUCUGUUUGAGUUCAGAUGAGCCAAAUAAAUAGCUGGUUAUAAAAGGCCAGAAACUGGAGCCUUACCUGAUAUCAGUGCAUACUGGGAAAAGGUUUCCAGAACACCCUGUGCUGUUUUUGCAGGGUCACACCUUUGCACAUGCUGGCCUCCUUUCCAAACUUUCCAGCCUCUCCUGCACUCAAGCUCCCCUUCAUCCUUCAAGCAGCCCCAUGAUGCCUCUGAGGUCCCCCACCUGCAGAGGUGCCUCUCUUCCAAGUUCCCCUUUCUUGUAUUUCUCCUUAACAUGGAAUUUAGCACCAUCUAUCAUAAUGGGUGUUUUCUUGGGCUUUUUUUCAACUGACUCUAAACUCAACUGCAUAUGUCUUUUUGAAUUACAGUUUUCUCUGGAUAUACGCCCUGAAGUGAGAUUGCUGGAUCAUAUGGCAAAUCUAUUUUUAGUUUUUUGAGUAUUCUCCAUACUGUUUUCCAUAGUGGCUGUACCAGUUUACAUUUCCACCAGCAGUGUAGGAGGGUUCCCUUUUCUCCACAUCCUGUCCAGCAUUUAUUAUUUGUAGAUUUUUAAAAUGGUGGCUAUUCCGACUGGAGUGAGGUGGUACCUCAUUAUAGUUUUGAUUUGCGUUUCUCUAAUAAUUAGUGAGGGGGUUCCCGUUGUGGCUCAGUGGAAACAAAACUGGCUAGUAUCCAAGAGGAUGCAAAUUUGAUCCCUGUCCCCUUUCAGUGGAUUAAGGAUCUGGCGUUGCUGUGAGCUGCAAUGAAGUUUGCAGAUGCAGCUCAGAUGUGGCGCUGUGGCUGUGGCUGUGGCUGUGGCGUAGGCUAGCAGCUGCAGCUCCGAUUUGACCCCUAGCCUAGGAACUUCCAAAUACCAUGGGUGCGGCCCUAAAAAGACAAAAAUAAUUAGUGAUGUUGAGCAUCGCUUCAUGUGCCUAUUGGCCAUCUGUAUGUCUUCUUUGGAGAAAUGUCUAUUUAGGUCUUUUUGCCCAUUUUUUGAUUGGGUUGUUUUUUUGGUGUUGAGUUGUAUGAGCUGUUUGUAUAUUUUGGAAAUUAAGCCCUUGUGAGUUACAUUAUUUUGCAAAUACUUUCUCCAAGUCUGUAGGUUGUUUUCUUCAUUUUGUUUAUAGUUUCCUUUGCUGUAUGAAAGCUUAUAAAUUUGAUUAUGUCUCAUUUGUUUGUAUUUGAUUUUAUUUCUAUUGCCUUGGGAAACUGACCUAAGAAAACAUUGCUACGAUUUAUGUCAGGAAAUGUUUUGCUUAUGUUCUCUUCUAGGAGUUUUAUCGUGUCAUGUCUUAUAUUUAAGUCUUUAGGCCAUUUUGAGUUUAUUUUUGUGUACAUUGUGAGGGUGUGUUCUAACUUCAUUGAUUUACGUGCAGCUGUCCAACUUUCCCAAUACCACUUGCUGAAGAGACCCUUUUUUCCAUUGUAUAUUCCUGCCUCCUUUGUUGAAGAUUAAUUGACUGUAGGUGUGUGGGUUUAUUUCUGGGCUAUUUUGUUUCAUUGAUCCAUAUGACUCUUUCUGUGCCAAUACCGUGCUGUUUUGAUUACUGUAGCUUUAAAGUAUUGUCUGAAGUCUGGAAAGGUUAUGCUUCCUGCUUUCUUCUUGUUCCUCAAGAUUGCUUUGGCAAUUCUAGGUCUUUUAUGGUUCCAUAUAACUUUUAGGAUCAUUCUAGUUCAAUGAAAAAUGUCAUGGGUAAUUUGAUAGGGAUUGCAUUAACUCUGUAGUUUGCUUUGGGUAGUAUGUCAACUGCCCAGAUUUUCUAUUUAGAAUUUGUGUUACUCUCUGAUGAUCAACCCUGGAGACUGCUAACCACCUGCCUGAUACCCAUUCUCUUCAUCUUGCAUACUGAUUUUAGUGAAUUGGAGAGUGCAAGAUGCCCAGUUAAAAAGGACAUUUCCCAGCCUCCUUAGAAGCAAGGGGUGGCCCUGUGACUAGGUAUUGGCCAAAUGAGAUAGAAGAUGAAGUUUUGGGGUGGGAUGUGAGGAAAGCCCCUUAAAAAGGGAAGGGGAUAUGGAAGACAUAGGUCUUUUUAAAAAAUUUUCCUUUUAGAAUGGAGCAUGAUGAUAAUAGAAUUGCAGAAGCAAUCUUGGACUAUGAGAGAACUUUGAGGGUAGAUGUAUGCUGAGGAUGGAGGAGCAGAAAGAUGGAAGGCGCUUGGGUUCUUAAAGGCCAUAGAUCCUAAGUUGCCUUCUUCUGGACCUCUUCCAUGAGAAAAAAAUAGACUUCUAUUUUUGUUUAAGUCAUUCUUAUCAGUUUCUGAUUAUUUAUGUGAAGAUGCAGGAAGGAAAGUAAGGUGUCAUCAGUUCUGGGCCUGGUGGGCUAGGAUGUUUUCAGAAAUAGAGUCCAGAAAGCUGCCAGAGGUAGUGCCUGCCUGAAUGGGGGUGCCUGUGGGCCAGAGGGCAGCUCAUGGCUGUGGGGUCCUGGUUCUCUCACCAGCACCACCUCCCACCCAGCUCCACCGAGUAGGAACAAGGCAGGACUUGGAGACUGGGGAGGGUGGGAGUCGGGGGUGGUCACAGCCACCUUGGGCUCAUCUCAGCAUUGCAUUUGGGGACUUUGAAUGGACUUCAGAGACCCAGAGUCUCUGUCAGACCUGAGGGUUGUCUACCCAGCAGCCACUUCUGUGAUGGUUUUGUUGUCAAAACACUGAUUUUGCUGCUCAAUUUGGUAACUCCUUUUCCUUUUUCCUGAUGUGUUUAGAAAAGGGACGUAUGAUCCUUCGUCAUGUCCCUGCCCACCCCCUUAUGAAAUACAAGGGGCUUAUCUGAGAAAGUUCUCCAUACUCUCUUCCUAAGAAGCAGCUCAAGACAAACCCUGAUCGUCUCUUGCCUUUGGGCAUUACUGAGUGAAUGUGUGAAGUUUGGAGUCACAGGAGUUCUCUUAACACCAUUAGAAAAAAAAAUCAGGAGUUCCCGUCGUGGCGCAGUGGUUAACGAAUCCGACUAGGAACCAUGAGGUUGCGGGUUCGGUCCCUGCCCUUGCUCAGUGGGUUAACGAUCCGGCGUUGCCGUGAGCUGUGGUGUAGGUCGCAGACGCGGCUCAGAUCCUGCGUUGCUGUGGCUCUGGUGUAGGCUGGUGGCUACAGCUCCGAUUCAACCCCUAGCCCGGGAACCUCCAUAUGCCGCAGGAGCGGCCUGAGAAAUAGCAAAAAGCCAAAAAAAAAAAAAAAAAAAA
rnacentral:lncRNA from 1 species